CUGAGCGUGAAGUAUAAAUGAGCCCUUACACGACCCCGGCCUUCCACGCCUCCUGCCUUGCACAGUCCGUAGUAAGAGAAGGAGAAGAGCUGCUGUAGUUUUUCCAAUACGAAAAAGAAAAGGAGCUGAAAACGUUUUCCGACACGGAACAAUGGCACAACAGAACCAGUCACAUUUCUCCAUAAAAGCAGAUAAUAUAAAAACAACUUUGAUUACAUUGCUUAAAUAUCCAAAUGAAUCCAAGUGCCCUCUUUGUAAAAAGUAAAGAGACUACAGCAUCCUGCGGCCUGCCUUAAGAGUCAUGAAGACCACAUUGCCAAGUAUGCAGGUUUCCAAAGGAUCAUUUUGUGGUGUCUCUGUAUUUCAUCCUCGAGUCCCCCUUCAAUUUUAAUGAGCAUACUGUCCAAAGUGGUUUUGAAGUUCCAGAAACGCCUACCUUUCAAAAUCCAGAUAUUUUAAAUUCCUCUUUAGAAUGACAUGCCAGCUUUGAGGAAGUGCUGGUGUAGAAUGUUACUUGAGAACUCCAGCACCAAGGG